UCGAACGUAAGAUGACUGUAGGUGAAAGCUUACAUCUCUUCGGAGCAUUUUACGUAGGUGCUGCAUGGUUGUCGUCAGCUCGUGCCGUGAGGUGUCGGGUUAAGUCCCAUAACGAGCGCAACCCUACCUUUAGUUGCCAUCAGGUAAUGCUGGGGACUCUAAAGGAACUGCCUACGCAAGUAGUGAGGAAGGCGGGGAUGACGUCGAAAUCAGCACGGCCCUUACGUCCAGGGCUGCACACGUGCUACAAUGGCCGAUACAGAGGGCAGCUACCUGGUGACAGGAUGCAAAUCUCCAAAGUCGGUCUCAGUUCGGAUCGGAGUCUGCAACCCGACUCCGUGAAGUUGGAUUCGCUAGUAAUCGCGCAUCAGCCAUGGCGCGGUGAAUACGUUCCCGGGCCUU
rnacentral:rRNA from 1 species